CGAAUACCGGAAGCGAGAAACUCAAGGGAACACGGCGAAUGUAGCUCGAAUUCGAAGGCGGCGGAAUCUCUUUUUUUCUCUGCCGCGAGUUCUCGUCCCAAAGAGCGAGGUGGCGACGGAUCCGGCGAUAAGACCUUCAGGUAUGCGGAAACCCAAUCUUUUUACGAGUUGAAUUCUGUGGUUCGCUCCGAAGUCCUACCGAAAUGACUCUGAGGGCGGGUUCAUCCAGAUCCUGUUUGGGUCGCAUUUUGGGAGAGUUGUAGUGGGUGCUGUGCAGGAUGACAAGGCAUAGGAGCGAGAGUCGAGGGGAUGGUGUUUUUGCGAGUGGGUGAGAGGUGGUGGAAUCAGCGCUGGGUUGGGAAGAGAUGGACGUGGCGAGGAAAGGGAUGGGGACAUAGCCUCACUUGUAUGCGAAUGCGUCGUCAACUGUUGAUGUAAUUGAGGGGGGAAUGAGAAGCAGAUGAGCAAGUGGAUUGCGUCUGGUCUGUGCUUGAGUGGAAUUCAUGUUGGCGUAGGGAAGUUUUCUGCCACUGUGCGGAGCUAGGCAUGGGGGAAAUGCAGGAGAAGGGUUUUAGGAGAGGCAGCAUGAGUUUGCGUCAGAUGCUGAGGGCUCGUCGUUGUUUCUUGCUCUGCAAAAUGGGUAGUUCCGGAUCAUGGAAACGAACAAUUAUCACUCAUUUUGGCAGGUGCAAAUGCUGCACAUACACCAUGAAGAUAAUUCUGAGUGUAUUCGAGGUCCAGUUUACCAAUCCAGCUCACAGAUGAUCAAUUAUAAGUAGAGCGGAUUUUGCUUGGGCUACAGAAAAUACUUUUACUGAAUUCAAAAUGCGUCAUUCAGUAACGAAUUGAGCUUGUUUUGAAUGUAUGAAAGGAAUUUGAAUUUCAAAAAAAAUGUUCAGUUUAUUUUGGUUUGGACACAACUAGUUUCUGCAAGGAUUUUGCAUGUUGCAAUAGAUUUGAAGAUGCACGAGACUUUGAGGAAGCCCAUUGUGGAGUCUGGGGAUGCUCUGGUGGUGGACUGGCUAUUGAAUGCCGUUGGCAGUUCCAGUUUGUGCAGGCCUAGGCAUCAAAAUCUACAUCGACACAAGAUCCAUCACAGCUACAACGAACCAACUCCACUCAAGUUACAGCUGUGAUGGAAUAUGUAAUUGCAUUCCACAUCACUUCAGGCUUGUAGAAAAAAUUGCAAAUGUUAAUUAAUAGGAUUAUAGUGCACUGUUUGUGGGGUAAAUAGGAAGACACAAAAUAAGCUUUUGAGCCUUUGUUUGUUGAAGAAGUUGUUCAACACAGUUAUGCACUCUUAAGAAUGGUAGUACAAACUAUUAUUUGUAGAAAGUAUUUCUAAAUGAAAAAAAUAAUUUUAGCAUUGUUUAUAAUUUGA